rnacentral:lncRNA from 1 species
GAUCAUCAGACCAUUCUGAAGAGGAGGAGUUGGCACAGUUACUUCUCCUCUCUGAGCCUCGAUCUCCCUGCCGGCAAAAUGGGGAUCCUUGUCCCAGCUCCACUCACUCUAUAGGGUUCGUUUGAGGCUCAUGGAAUGAAAAGAUCUAAAGAAGUCUGGCCAGAGGGACACUGAGAUGAGCAAUGUGGUUGGAGGAGAGGAUACUGACCCAAGAAUUCUCUGGAUAAGAAGAAGGAGGAGGGGAAGCCUGAAGUGGAUGGGUCGAGCCUCAGCUGUGGAAGAAUUGCUAAUUACAGCCACCAUAAGGAAAUAUCAAUGAUGGACGUCAAUAUUAUUGCCUCCUGCAUCCCUGCCUGUUUAUUUGGAGAUGAAAAGCGCCCUAGGGUCAUCUCUCCAGGACGAAGAUGAGUGAUGACAGAAGGGAGGAGAGCUACACAUGGAGAAAAGGGCAUCCUCCAGCUGGAUUCAUUCAUGAAACCAGGACCCAUUUCCUCUGGGCAGAGUUCUCUCCACUGAGGGCCCAGGGCUGGGGCUGAGGGCAAAGGAACCUGCACAGGGAGGAGGAACUAGUGAUCCUGCUCCCAGCCCUGGUUCACCAAGUGACUGCAUGUAUGCCUCUUUGUGCCUCAGUUAACUCAUCUGAUAAAUGGGUAUGACAAUUCCAAAAAAAAAAAAAAA